UACGUAGGGAGCAAGCGUUGUCCGGAAUCAUUGGGCGUAAAGCGCGCGUAGGUGGCCCGGUAAGUCCGCUCUGAAAGUCACAGGCUCAACCUGUGAAAGCGGGUGGAUACUGCCGGGCUAGAGUCCGGAAGAGGCGAGUGGAAUUCCUGGUGUAGCGGUGGAAUGCGCAGAUAUCGGAAGGAACAUCAGUGGCGAAAGCGGCUUCCUGGACCAGUACCGACGUCAGGCACGAAAGCGUGGGGAGCAAACAGG
rnacentral:rRNA from 1 species